rnacentral:rRNA from 1 species
ACCUACGGGAGGCAGCAGUAGGGAAUCUUCCACAAUGGGCGAAAGCCUGAUGGAGCAGCGCCGCGUGGGUGAAGAAGGUCUUCGGAUCGUAAAACCCUGUCGUUAGCGAAGAAACUGCGUGAGAGUAACUGUUCACGUUUCGACGGUAUCUAACCAGAAAGCCACGGCUAACUACGUGCCAGCAGCCGCGGUAAUACGUAGGUGGCAAGCGUUAUCCGGAUUUAUUGGGCGUAAAGGGAAGCAAGGCGGUCUUUUAAGUCUGAUG